GCAAAGUGCGCGGACCCGGGUCCUGGACCGAAGAUUUAGCCCAGGGUUUCGUGUGUGUUGCUCCCUGUUGCUUUCUACGGGGUCUGCGCUGGCCUCCUCCUCGGGCGACUGGGCCCUGAGGCAACAGCGCCUUCUCGAGCCCCGAGGAUUGACCGCCCCGAGCCUGCUUGGAGCAGGGCCUCUCUCCAGCGCGGUGUGAUGAAACACCAGCUGCUGUGAAGAUAUACCCUUAGAAACGAACCGUCUGUUAAUAUGGUAAAAAUAUUUUUCGCUUUCUUGAAUAGUGACUAUGGGGAUAGGGCUAUUACCCCAUAGUUUAGGAUUCUAAAUUGAGCGAUGUGGGGUGGGGGAAAUAGAAGGGAAUCAAAUAUUUGGAAAGGCACAGAAAGCCAAGAUGCCAAUUUAUUAGUCCCAGAUAAGCAAGAUAGUAACAGUUUAUAAGCCUGUCUUAACAGGGACUGGAAGAGCCUGGGCAAUUACUUAUGAAAGACAAAACUCAAGACUAAGUUGGGAAGUUCUGUAGGAAAAGCAUCGUAAGUCUCACAGUAGUAGUAAAACAGGAAGUGUACUCUGACUCAUGUUUGAAGUACUUUUCUGGGAAGGGGAAAAAAUGUGUUCAUGACUGGAAUACUUACCUUGUGCCAAGUAUGUGUUAAGCAUUUUUCAUGUAACCUUUCAUUUAAUCCUUGUGUGACUUCCAUGAGUUAGGUAUUACUGUCCACAUUUUACAGCUUAUGAAAACAGGGGCUCAGAGAGGAUGUACUUUUCUCAAGACCACACAGCUGGAAAAAAACCAUUCUUCCAGGAGAGGCUCCUCCAAGCAAACUUCCCCUUACAUCUCUUACCAGAACUGGGUCACAUGCUCCCAUCUAAAACAACCACUGGCCAUUAGAAAUGGUGUUACCAUGCCUGUCUUGGACCAAUCACAUUUGAUCCUCUGAGGAUAGAGACAUGUUGCCACCUGAACAACUGUGGGGUGCUGUACUCCUGGCAAGCAGGGAGAAUGGCUGUGGCUAGGCAACUGACAGCAUCUACCACAAAUAUGUUACUCAGAAGAAGAAUCGAGGAUGGCCAUAAUUUUUAUUUAAAGAUUUCUAUUUUACAGAGGCAUAUCUGAUUAAGGGACAUUUAAACUUCCCUGUUAAACUUAUCAAGACAAAAAGACAAGGCAUCUUGCCACAUUUCUUAAAUAUUCUCUGCAGUCUCUCUUGACCUUUUCCCAGCUGUGCUGUAAACAUAAAGAUAAUAACAUAUCUGAAUAACAUUUUAUGGUGCACAGAUAAUUUUCACAUACAUUAUCCAUUUGACCCUCACCAUAACUGUGUGGGGUAGGUAAGGUACGAUUGUACUUUUCAUUAAUUUUUUUUUUUUUGAGACACAGUCUCGUUCUGUCACCCAGGCUAGAGUGCAGUGGUGCGAUCUGGGCUCACUGCAACCUCCACCUCCCAGGUUCAAGUGAUUCUCCUGCCUCAGCCUCCAAGUAGCUGGGAUUACAGGCAAGUGCCACCAUGCCUGGCUAGUUUUUGUAAUUUUUUAGUAGAGACAGGGUUUCACCAUGUUGGCCAGGCUGGUCUAGAACUCCUGACCUCAGGUGAUCCACGUGCCUCGGCCUCCCAAAGUGCUGGGGUUACAGGCAUGAGCCACUGCUCCUGGCCACUUUUCAUUAAUUUUUAUUGGACUUAGGAUUAGAAGGAUGAGCAAAUCCUACUACUUAGUGCGUGGAAUACUGGCAUCUAUUGUUUUUGCUUGGCUCCUCUCUUGUUUUAAUAAUUAACUAAUCGAUCCAUUCUCUUUUAUUGCCAUCUCCCACUCACACUUUUUCCUCCACAUAGGCAAUCAUUCUAAAUAUGUCCAAUGUUUAUCUUAUUUGUAUGCGUAUUUAUAAAGUGAAUAUUUUGUUUAGUGUGUAUGCAGUUUCGUUUGCAUAAAUUGUAAUAUUCUGUGAAUCUCAUUCUGUUUUGUACUUUUUUCAUUCUGCUCUGUUUUUAGAAGUGAUCCAUGUUGCUAUGUGUAUCUACUCCAUUGCCUUUAAAUGCUGCAUAAUACUCCACGGUGUUUGUCGAUCAUGUUUUACUCAUCUUUGCCCCCUAGUGGAAACCAUGAUGGCCUCCAACUCUGCACACAAAUAGUUUCAAACAAGAACCGCUGGUGAAAUGUGACUGCUGAUGGACCUGGGUGGGAAUUUCUCUGGGAUGCCGACUAAAAAGCAUGGUGGCUGGGUCAUAAAAUGCACACUUAAUUUGAAUAAGUGCCACCCAGUGGCUCUCCACAAAGCCUGCACUAGUCCAUUCUACUAGAAAUUAUUCACAUUUAACUGGAAACUGGGUCUUGGAGAUGUUAAGUAACUUGCUCAAGCUCACAUAAGGAGUAAAAGUGAAUUAGGACAUCCAGGACCCAAAUCCAGGCCUUGUAACUUCAGGUCAAUUUUAUUU